AAAGUUAUCAGCAUUAAUAUAGAAAUGUCGAAAGGAAAAAUAUGAAAUCAAAAUUUAAAUUAAAUUGCAAUUUAAAUUUUUAAAGUUGCUACAUAUUUUUCCUUUUCAAAUGUGGAAAUUGAAGAUUUGCCAAUGUGCGCCCAGCAAAAAAAUACAAAAAGUUGGCAGGCCGAAAAAGCUGAAAAAAAAAACAGUUUUACAAAUUGUCAGCGCCAUUUUGCCAAGCCAAGACAUCCCUUUCCUUUUCGUUAUUUAUUAAAAAAAAAGUGUGUUAAAACAAAAAGAUUUAACAAGACCCGUAAGAGUCCGAGUCCGCAAUGAUUGAUUUGACAGAAGAAAGUGGGAAUAAAAUGGUUACUUCCACUUCGGAGUCCCCCGGCAAUCCCUUCAAGGUGCCCCUUCCGCCCGCCAAGCUGUCCUUGGCCCCCGGCAAAUUCAUCAAGCCCCUAUCUCCGGGUUACGCUACCCAAAACUUGCUCCUCGGUCAUACUGGAUGCAUUACGGCCGUGAAGUUUGGUCCGGAUGGUGACCACCUGGCCAGUGGCUCCGCCGACAGGGUCCUCAAGCUGUGGGAUGUGCAGGCCGGGAGCUGCAUCCAAUCUCUAGGGGGCCACGAGAUGGGAAUCAACGAUGUGGCCUGGUCGGCCAGUGGAAUCCUCGCCAGCUGCAGCGAUGACACCAACGUUCGCCUCUGGGAUCCGCGCAGUGUGCUCUGCGUGAAAACUCUGACCGGGCACAGUGAAUUUGUCUUCUCCUGCUGCUUUAAUCCGCAGUGCAACCUGCUGGCCUCUGGAAGUUUCGAUAAUACAGUACGCCUAUGGGAUUUGCGCACUGGAAGAACCCUCAAGACAGUGCCAGCCCACCAGGAACCCGUCCGUUCGGUGGACUUCAACCGGGAGGGCAGCAUUUUCGUCACGAGCAGCUUUGAUGGACUGGUGCGCCUGUGGGACACUAGCACCUGCCACGUGCUGAAGACUCUCAUCGACGACGACAACAUCCCGGUGGGACAUGUGAAGUUCUCGCCCAACGGCCGCUACAUCCUGGCCUCCAUGCUGAACAGUUCCCUCCGGCUGUGGAACUACGAGAAGCCCAAGUGUUUGAGGGUUUUUCGAGGCCAUGUGAACGAGUCCUAUUGCCUGACCGCCAACUUCUCCAUCUCGGCGGGCAUUUGGAUAGUGUCCGGCAGCGAGGACGAUUCGCUCUGCAUCUGGGACUUGCAGACCAGGCAGCUGGUCCAGAAGGCGGCCACCCAGGGCGACGGGGUGCUCUGCACUGAUUGCCAUCCCACGGCGAAUCUGAUUGCCACCGGCGCCCGGCAGAACACUUACGCCGUCAAGAUCUGGAAGAGCAGCGAGUAGAGGGAUACCCAAUCUGAUACCCAUUUAACCUGUAGUUGCACAAGACUUUUGCUGUCAAAUCAGAAAGAGCUGCAAGGGCAGCCAAGCAAACGUGCAAAUUUGUAUGUGCAGUUGUUGAUCGACGGACUGGCAACAGGGCUAACAAGAUAAAGCGGUACCAGUUACCUGCUCUUGUAAAUCUUAU